CCACAACCCCCACGUUUCCAGUGGCAUUUCCGUCAAACAACAACUCCUCCAUAUCUUCCCCAGCUGUCCAAAUAACUACCCUCCCUCCAUCCCUCUCCCCCUAUUCUUCCUAAAUCCCCUCCGCCCGAGAUGGCCUACACUCCCACGAUGAGCUCCACUAAAUCCCGCCGUAAAGUGGCUCCGGCGGCCGCCGAUAAUGGCGACUCUGGCGAGAAACUCGACCAACUCCUCCUCUCCUCCGCCAUCUCCAACGGCGAGGACGUCGGCCCCUUCGUCCGCAAAGCCUUCGCCUCCGGGAAACCCGAGACCCUCCUCCUCCACCUCCGCCACUUCUCGCGCUCCAAAGAGUCCGAAAUCGAAGAGGUCUGCCGGGCCCACUACCAAGACUUCAUCCAAGCCGUCGACGACCUCCGAUCUCUCCUCUCCGACGUGGACUCCCUCAAGUCUUCUCUCUCCGAAUCCAACGCCAAGCUCCAGGCCGUCGGAUUGCCGCUGCUGACGUCACUCGACGCCUUCGUUGAAGCUCGAAACGUCUGCCGAAACGUCAACCUGGCGCUCCAAUCGGUCCGAAACUGUAUUCGGCUCAUGGAGCUCUGCUCCCGAUCCAACUACCACCUCUCCCGAGGCAACUUCUACAUGGCGCUCAAGUGUGUGGACACAAUCGAGUGCGUGUUCCUGGACAAAACGCCGUCGUCUACGAUUAAGCGGAUGCUGGAGAAGAAGAUUCCGGAGAUUCGGUGGCAAAUCGAGCGCAAGGUGAUGAAGGACUUCAACGAUUGGCUGGUGGAGAUCCGAGUGGUGUGCCGGAAUUUAGGUCAAUUGGCGAUCGGUCAAGCUUCGUCGGCCAGGCAAAGAGAGGAGGAUCUGAGAAUCAAGCAGCGCCAAGCUGAGGAGCAGAGCAGGCUCAGCCUUAGAGAUUGUGUCUACGCUUUGGAGGAGGAGGACGAAGAUCCGGUUGGAGAUGAUAGUAGCAAUGGCGAAGGGGUUGACUUGACUCCAUUGUACAGAGCCUAUCAUAUACACCAGACUCUGGGAGUUGAGGACCGGUUUAAGCAGUAUUACUUCGAAAAUCGCAAGCUUCAGCUCACUUCCGAUUUUCAGGUAUCUUCCAUGACUCCGUUUCUUGAGUCUCAUCAGACUUUCUUUGCGCAAAUCGCCGGGUUUUUUAUUGUGGAGGAUAGAGUUGUGAGGACCGGAGGUGGAUUGAUAUCGAAAUUGGAGGUUGAGAAUCUGUGGGAGACUGCUGUGAGUAAAAUGUGUUCAGUUUUAGAGGAUCAAUUUUCUAGGAUGCAGACUGCCAACCAUUUGUUGCUGAUUAAGGACUAUGUGAGCUUGUUAGGUGUGACUUUGCGGAGGUAUGGAUAUUUGGUUGAUCCUUUGCUUGAUGUGUUGAGCAAGCACAGGGAUAAGUACCAUGAGUUGCUAUUAUCGGAUUGUAGAAAGCAGAUUACGGAAGCGCUUUCUGCGGAUAAGUUUGAUCAGAUGUUGAUGAAGAAAGAGUAUGAGUAUUCCAUGAAUGUGCUUUCGUUUCAGUUACAGACUUCUGAUAUCACACCAGCUUUUCCUUAUGUUGCACCCUUUAGCUCUACGGUGCCUGAUUGUUGCCGCAUUGUGCGGUCUUUUAUUGAGGAUUCUGUGAGUUUCAUGUCCUAUGGUGGGCAGCUUGAUUUCUUUGAGGUUGUGAAGAAGUAUUUGGAUCGGCUAUUAAGUGAGGAUUUAGAUGGCGCCCUUGUGAAGCUUAUCAAUACAUCUGUCAGUGCGGUCUCCCCGGCAAUGCAGGUGGCUGCUAAUAUGGCUGUCAUGGAGAGAGCUUGUGAUUUCUUCUUCCGACAUGCUGCUCAGCUUUCUGGCAUUCCUUUGAGAAUGGUGGAGAGGGGCAGGAGGCAGUUUCCGCUAUGUAAAGCCCGCGAUGCUGCAGAAGACACUCUCUCAGGGUUGCUUAAACAAAAAGUUGAUGGGUUCAUGACACUGAUGGAGAGUGUGAACUGGAUGGCUGAUGAGACUCUGCAGAAUGGGAAUGAGUAUGUGAAUGAGCUGAUCAUAUAUUUGGAAACUCUGGUUUCCGCUGCACAGCAGAUAUUGCCACCAAAUGUUCUUAAACGAGUUAUACAAGAUGUUCUUUCUCAUAUAUCGGAGAAGAUAGUUGGGGCUUUACUUGGGGACUCAGUUAAGAGGUUUACUGUAAAUGCAAUUAUGAGCAUCGAUGUGGACAUUCGGGUAUUCGAAUCUUUUGCAGAUAAUCAAGCACCUUUACUGUCAGAGGAGGAUGCAAAUCAGUUGAAAUCGGCACUUGCUGAGUCAAGGCAGUUGGUUAAUUUACUCUUAAGCAACAAUCCAGAGACUUUUCUUAAUCCUGUAAUCAGGGAGAGGAGUUAUAAUAACUUGGAUUAUAGAAAAGUAGUGAUUAUUUCAGAAAAAUUGAGAGAUCCUUCAGAGCGGCUAUUUGGAACUUUUGGAAGCAGGGGAAGCAGGCAGAACCCAAAGAAGAAAUCUCUAGAUUUGUUGAUAAAAAGACUCAAGGAUAUGGCAUAAAACCUAUGGACGUGUGUUUUGACCAUUUAGAAGAUCCUGCAAAGGGUGAUAACCUUUUAAGUUACCUCAGGAAAACUAAUUGGCGUCCGGCCGUCUUCGUUCUCUCCUAAUGACCCCCAAUUGGCUGUAUUUGGCAAAUUCACAUCAGAACACUGAUUGAAUAAUAUUGAAUCUUCAGGAAUAAUUACCUAUAUGAUUAAUUGUCAGAAUAGGUGUGCUGGUUCGGGAUAGAGUUUCACAAUGCCUCUCAAUAAU